AACAAUAUAGUUUCACAAAGGCAUGCGUACAUAUGCAACAAGAAUUCACAAAUGAAAUGGUCAUGCAUACAUAUCCAAUAUAUUAGAAGUUCACAAAAAUAACAAACUGAUGAUGAGUUCAAAGUCCACACAUGCAUACAUAUCCAACAUAGUUUCACAAAAACACACAUACAUAUUCAAGGAGGGUUCACAACAUGUGUACGUAUGCAACAAGAGUUAACAAACAAAAGCAUGAGUUCAACCUACAAUAUGCAAUGAGCUUCCGCCACAGCAUGUAUGCCCACCGUCGACGGCAUCCGUGAUGCAAACCUAUAAGUUCAAUAGCACACGCAUGAGUAUCCAAAGUUAAAUUUUUGAAGAAUAGAAAUCAUAUCAAAUUAAAAGAGCACUGCAAAACUGCAACAAGAAGAUUUAGUUUUACUCUCAUGAUUUAUAUUUUUGAAGAAUAGAAAUCAUAUCAAAUUAAAAGACACUACAAAACUAAAACUCCUACCAAGACCAUAUAUGUAAAAUAGAAUUGAAUUGAAUCUCACAUCAACUCCUACAAAGACCAAGAAGCAAAAUAUCAACCAAAUGAUGUUAACCUACAUAUUUCUCAACCUGUAAAAUUUAACAGGAGGAAAAAUAACACUAUGUACUACACUUCACAACAAACAGAGAUUGGUUUUCGGUUAAAAUUGCUUUUCACACAAGCACUUGAUAGGAAGGAGAAGGGAGGAGAGGAGGGCAUACCUCGGUUGCGACCUCAUCUACGACAUGAAGCUCGUGAGGAAGGAGACAGAGAUGAUGAUGAUGCUACUGCAAGCUUUCGGUCAUCUAUAGGAGGCUGAGGCACCGCAUAGAAAGCCAACAAGAGGGUGUGGGUGGAUACCAUGACGGUCCUCAUGGGUACAUACAAGAAACUGAGUUACAUCAGUUUUAUUAAGCCAACAACACAACAAACAAAUAGUUGAGAGCUUAAGGUAAGUAAAGUGUACCUAAAGGAACUGAAACUGUGUCGAUACAACAAUAGGACAAAAAUAGAAAAAAGCAUUAAAAACUAACAGUUCUUGUGUAUUCUGCAAGCUAAGAUGGAGUUACACAUAUUGCUUGACACAAAAAAGCUCAAUGAAAAACAAAACUUUUGUUUGUACAAUAUGAAAUGCUUAUCAUGACAGUGACCCAGAGGGGGGGGCCAAGACUGCAACCAUUACGGUCAUGAAUCGACUUCACCACUUAAGAUUUGCUAAUACGGGUAUCAUACAUCUUGCAGAGAAAUAGAAGUAUACAUCAGAAAAAUGAACAUAAACUGCCUCAACCCAAUUGACAGACUAUCAACUACUAGCAGCAAUAAUGUUGAGACCUAUUUAUUUUGGGGGCAUGAUCUACAAAACUAAGCAGUUUGAAAUAAUAAACGAACCUUUCAAAGGUGUCUCUGCAAGGCUGUCUCCCAGAUUCACCUUCUUUGAUUUUAAUUGCAUCUUCAGCAGGCAUAGUGCAAUGGAGCUUUACUGGUGCAAGUGGCAAGUUCUUCGCAAUCUCACUGAAAAUAGAGCAUCAGAGCUUGUUAUUGUUUAACAGGGCUUGUUAAUAGUUUUAUUGAUCAAUAAAAAGCAUUUUGAAGACAGUGAGUCAUCAGCAGCCAUAUUGCAAUCAUAACAAAAAGAAGGAAAUAUGUUAAUCCAUCGCACGUGAUUAAGACCAUGACCUGCAUAUUUCCUCCAUGUGAUUAGCAUCAAUAUUCAUUUGCAAAUAUACACAGCCAAACAAUAUAGAGUUAACAGUCAUAUCAAGCCUCUGAACACAAAGACCAGCUUGUACCUCUAUAAAAAGCUCACUGAACAAUACUCCCUCGUCCCGAAUUAGUUGACUCAGAUUUGUCUACAUACGGACAUGACUAACCACGUUUUAGUGUUAGAUACAUCCGUAUCUAGAUGAAUGUAAGUCAAUUAAUUUGGGACGGAGGGAGUAUAACAUAAAAGCAACACCCAGUUCGAUCAACAAUUACAAUUAAGCUGAUUGUUAUCAGCAACUCCAGAAUACCAUGUUAUUAGUAACUUGAAAAGACUGACAAUGUCAUGAAACGUUAGUAAGCACAUCUACAACAUGCAGGUUCAAUGCAUUCUCAAACAUUUUUUGCUUCCCCGAAUUCUUGAAAAACAAUCGAAUGCGACAACAUCAGCUUCAAUACUAGUCGGUUAUCAUAAGAUAAUCAAGAGUCAAUGAAGCAUAGGACAAUCCAACCUCCAAUACAGAAUUGUGAAUGAAAUUAUGUAUCAGGACCUUUGUUAUACAGAGUAGAUACGCCUAUUCAGUGAAUGCAAAGUAAAUACCACAAGCAGGAAAUGACAAUUUUACUCUAGGAAGAGNNNNNNNNNNNNNNNNNNNNNNNNNNNNNNNNNNNNNNNNNNNGAAGAGCGUAUCAGGUUGGCAGCUUAUAUUUUUCUUCCAUAUAAUAAACAGUUGGGCGUAUGCACAGGACAGGACGCAAUUUGCUUCUUUAGAGGAUAAACUUUUCAUGCAGAUUACAAACACUGUCAAGUAAAUGCAUUCGUUUAUUGUAUACUUAAAGCCGAAUAACCUCACAUCUGCUAGCCAAUGCAUUAUACUAUUCUGUUACAACCAACACCAUCUAAUCAAAGAAAAACAUUCAGAUCCACAAGUAAGAAGUGAAAGCACAUAUCUUAGGAAAGGUUACGUAAAGGCUGAAGACAAACAAAAGUUGUCCAUCUCCAGCCUCAUAAGUUACAUGAGACGCGACGGUGUAAUACAAACAACAUGGAAGAUGUCAUAUAGCAGAUUCAAGUGGAAACGAAAUCACAAGACAACUUAAAGCUAACAACUUCUCCCUCUCUCACCCUCACACACACACACACACACACACACAAACCCAGAGCAACGGUUGAGUUCAUCGCCUGAAAUGCAUCUUUGCUCUGAUAAGAAGAGAAAAGAGAGGGAAGAAAGCAAGUGAGACUCAGCAUUACAUUGCAGUCGAAGUAGGAGAUGGACUCGCUGGUAAUUUUCAAUCUACCUUUGUGCUCCUACCUAACCUGCGUGAGGAGGGAAAUCGCAUCAGGGGAAGUGGAGAUAAGCAACUCGAACGGAAUCAUGCAGCUCCAAGGAAGAGAGAGAAAGGUGUCAACCUUAGCGGUCCCAAUUGAAUCUGGAUAGUCAUCUGUUGAAGUCAAGGAAUGUGCAUAAACUACUGCCAUCUCUUUACAUGCAUGUUACGACAAAUUGGCAAAUAGCUAGCACAUUCUGGCUUGCCAUUUUUUAUUGUACCUGAACGUGAUUACUCAGUUGUCACUUGGGAAGUAAACACUCAACAACUAACUUAUUUUCUUUGAAUAUGAAAAAAAGAAGGGAUUUGUUUUCAGAUGCAUAACUUAUUCUUCUAACUUGACACUGCUCACAGAACAUAACAUUGCAUAUGCUAGAUAAAGUUUUCACCGAGAAGUGUAAUAUUUUUAAUUCAGUCCUACAUAAGGUGUACCUCAUCAAGCUAAUAAAGGACAUGAGUAUCUGACAACCAUAAAUGAAUUUAUUUAGUUGCACAAAAUAGCCCAUAAACAUGCAUGUAAACAGCCAAACAACUCAGGGAGCUAUGCAUCCGUGGAACUCAAGAAAGAACAAAUUGUAAAACUGCAGCUUUUAUGGAGCAACCAAAUUCCUGCUCAGAAGUCAGUUUGAUAUGUGCAAGUGAUUUGAUUUUUAUUUUGUAACUUCACCAUAGUCCUCAGAUCUAUUUCCUAGAUGACUUCAUCCCUAUACUUAGAGUCUUAUUUGAGUUCCACGGAUCUCUUGCAAACAAACAUACUAUGGUAUCUAUUCCGUAUACCAGUGUCCGUUCCUCUCUCUGAAAAAAAAAUGUAUGUGGCAAACAUCCAGAUCUGCGGCGCUAGUCUGCCCAAGGAAGCAGCAACACAUGACAUUGCUGCAAGCUAUUUACGUACUUGGCAGGAUCGGGAAGGAACAAGGGAUUACCUUGGCCGUCUAGGCCAUGCAGCAUGUCGGGAAGGUGCUUGGAGCUGCAGCGGGAGCCUCCUCGCUCGCCGCCGUCGAGGGCCGCGAGUUCCCCCAUGAGACACGCCGAGGCGAGAGAAUGGGGUGGACGGGGAUCCACCCCACGCGGCCAGCUUGGGUCCGCCCGCCUCCGUCGUGCUUUUUGUGCAGCAGACGUCGUAGGUGGGUGCGGUACCGUCGCUAGAAGAGACGCGCAGGAGGGAGGCGGCUGCCGCGUCACUGUCGCCGUCGUCCAUGGGUGUGUGGAAGACUACUAGGGGGCGGGCUCUGCCGAUGAGGGAGGGAGGCAGCGGCGCGGUGGAGGUCGGAUGCGGUGGCUAUGGGGUAGAGGACGAGGGCCCGGCGGCCGUGGGAGGAGGGGUCCUUCUAUACCGGAGUGAGGUUGCUAGAUCUAGGGAGUGGGGAGAGAACUGAGAAGCGAGAUGGGAGGUGCGGUGCCGCGGGGGCGGUCGCGGAGGCGCGGGGGCGGCGGCGACGCAGUACGGGUCGGGGCAGUGGGCGGGUGAGAGAUGGAUUGGGGCAGAUAGAAAGGGGACUGGGAUUUUAGUGGGGGUGGGGAAGGGUUAGCAAUGGCGCACCCCCGAGCGGUGCGCCAUUAGUAAUUUU
rnacentral:lncRNA from 1 species